UACAUUUCUUGUCCAAGGUUUAGUGCUAGCUAAGGGAAAAGUUUUGGACGACGUCGUCGAGCCCGAGAAGGACGUACGGUAUUUACCGGGUGUUUUUUCUUCUUAGGAUCUUGUUUUACUCUUCAACUAUUGGUUGAAGAUCCUCUCUGUAUUAAUUGACGUAACUAGAGCCAUCGAUGCGGUGGGUGCCUUAAAUUUCUCGGAUUUCCUCGCACCCAGUAUAUAAGACGACUCGCAGCAAGAACGGUUCCAACAUACAGAAAAAAGUUGGAUGAGUUCAGGUUUGGCAACCCCGGGGAAUCUCCAAGAUUGGUACCUCGUGCUUCCAGGGUUUUUGCGUAUCAAAGGGGAGGUUUCUAUUGGAGGGGUCAACCCCUUGCGUAAUCUAUAAAUGGAUUUGGACACCCAGGAACUCGCCUAGGGUGUAAUCGAGGUUCUGCGACCAGAGAUUGAUCUUUUCUUUUUUUCAUCUUGUCCAUAUUUAUUCUUUUAGAAUCAAUUCUCCCAAGUACAUUUCUUGUCCAAGGUUUAGUGCUAGCUAAGGGAAAAGUUUUGGACGACGUCGUCGAGCCCGAGAAGGACGUACGGUAUUUACCGGGUGUUUUUUCUUCUUAGGAUCUUGUUUUACUCUUCAACUAUUGGUUGAAGAUCCUCUCUGUAUUAAUUGACGUAACUAGAGCCAUCGAUGCGGUGGGUGCCUUAAAUUUCUCGGAUUUCCUCGCACCCAGUAUAUAAGACGACUCGCAGCAAGAACGGUUCCAACAUACAGAAAAAAGUUGGAUGAGUUCAGGUUUGGCAACCCCGGGGAAUCUCCAAGAUUGGUACCUCGUGCUUCCAGGGUUUUUGCGUAUCAAAGGGGAGGUUUCUAUUGGAGGGGUCAACCCCUUGCGUAAUCUAUAAAUGGAUUUGGACACCCAGGAACUCGCCUAGGGUGUAAUCGAGGUUCUGCGACCAGAGAUUGAUCUUUUCUUUUUUUCAUCUUGUCCAUAUUUAUUCUUUUAGAAUCAAUUCUCCCAAGUACAUUUCUUGUCCAAGGUUUAGUGCUAGCUAAGGGAAAAGUUUUGGACGACGUCGUCGAGCCCGAGAAGGACGUACGGUAUUUACCGGGUGUUUUUUCUUCUUAGGAUCUUGUUUUACUCUUCAACUAUUGGUUGAAGAUCCUCUCUGUAUU
rnacentral:rRNA from 1 species